GAAAUGCGAUACGUCAUGCGAAUUGCAAGAUCCAGUGAGUCAUCAAAAUUUUGAACGCAACUUGCACUUCCGAGUAAUCGGGAGUAUGUCUGUUGGAGUGUCUGUUCAUCCCCACGAGGCGUCUCUUCGGAGGCACCUCUGGUCGGUCUAGUCUCUCGCCAGCUCGAGAGGCCAGUGCCCGGACGAAAGACACCCAGUCGUCGGCCUCAUCUGCUCGAAGAUGGAACGACACGACGUCCAGUUCUUCGGAACUACUUCGUGUCACCAGUUCCGGCUUCACACCCGGCAGUUGCUGCAGUCGACCAUCCGAUCGGACCUCCAAUCAGGCAAGAAUACCCGCUGAAUUUAA
rnacentral:misc_RNA from 1 species